rnacentral:rRNA from 1 species
GAUGAACGCUGGCGGCGUGCUUAACACAUGCAAGUCGAACGGGAAUUACUUUAUUGAAACUUCGGUCGAUUUAAUUUAAUUCUAGUGGCGGACGGGUGAGUAACGCGUGGGUAACCUGCCUUAUACAGGGGGAUAACAGUCAGAAAUGGCUGCUAAUACCGCAUAAGCGCACAGAGCUGCAUGGCUCAGUGUGAAAAACUCCGGUGGUAUAAGAUGGACCCGCGUUGGAUUAGCUUGUUGGUGGGGUAACGGCCCACCAAGGCGACGAUCCAUAGCCGGCCUGAGAGGGUGAACGGCCACAUUGGGACUGAGACACGGCCCAGACUCCUACGGGAGGCAGCAGUGGGGAAUAUUGCACAAUGGGGGGAAACCCUGAUGCAGCGACGCCGCGUGAAGGAAGAAGUAUCUCGGUAUGUAAACUUCUAUCAGCAGGGAAGAUAGUGACGGU